rnacentral:rRNA from 1 species
GACGAACGCUGGCGGCGUGCUUAACACAUGCAAGUCGAACGGAAAGGCCCUGCUUUUGUGGGGUGCUCGAGUGGCGAACGGGUGAGUAACACGUGAGUAACCUGCCCUUGACUUUGGGAUAACUUCAGGAAACUGGGGCUAAUACCGGAUAGGAGCUCCUGCUGCAUGGUGGGGGUUGGAAAGUUUCGGCGGUUGGGGAUGGACUCGCGGCUUAUCAGCUUGUUGGUGGGGUAGUGGCUUACCAAGGCUUUGACGGGUAGCCGGCCUGAGAGGGUGACCGGCCACAUUGGGACUGAGAUACGGCCCAGACUCCUACGGGAGGCAGCAGUGGGGAAUAUUGCACAAUGGGCGGAAGCCUGAUGCAGCAACGCCGCGUGCGGGAUGACGGCCUUCGGGUGGUAAACAGCUUUCGCCUGUGACGAAGCGUGAGGGACGGUAAUGGGUAAAGAAGCACCGGCUAACUACGU